GUACUGCUGAAGAGUCCCAAACUAGGACGAAACACUUGUCCAGUAC
rnacentral:hammerhead_ribozyme from 1 species